UGGCGGACGGGUGAGUAAUGUCUGGGAAACUGCCCGAUGGAGGGGGAUAACUACUGGAAACGGUAGCUAAUACCGCAUAACGUCGCAAGACCAAAGAGGGGACCUUCGGGCCUCUUGCCAUCGGAUGUGCCCAGAUGGGAUUAGCUAGUAGGUGGGGUAACGGCUCACCUAGGCGACGAUCCCUAGCUGGUCUGAGAGGAUGACCAGCCACACUGGGACUGAGACACGGCCCAG
rnacentral:rRNA from 1 species